rnacentral:rRNA from 1 species
CAGCAGUGGGGAAUAGUUGCACGAAUGGGUCGCAAGCCUGAUGCAGCCAUGCCGCGUGUAUGAAGAAGGCCUUCGGGUUGUAAAGGUACUUUCAGCUAGUGAGGAAGGUGGGUAUGUUAAUAGCAUACUCAUUUGACGUUAGCUGCAGAAGAAGCACCGGCUAACUCCGUGCCAGCAGCCGCGGUAAUACGGAGGGUGCGAGCGUUAAUCGGAAUUACUGGGCGUAAAGCGCAUGCAGGUGGUUUGUUAAGUCAGAUGUGAAAGCCCGGGGCUCAACCUCGGAAUUGCAUUUGAAACUGGCAAACUAGAGUACUGUAGAGGGGGUAGAAUUUCAGGUGUAGCGGUGAAAUGCGUAGAGAUCUGAAGGAAUACCGGUGGCGAAGGCGGCCCCCCUGGACAGAUACUGACACUCAGAUGCGAAAGCGUGGGGAGCAAACAGGAUUAGAUACCCUGGUAG